rnacentral:rRNA from 1 species
GACGAACGCUGGCGGCGUGCUUAACACAUGCAAGUCGAACGGAAAGGCCCUGCUUUUGUGGGGUGCUCGAGUGGCGAACGUGUGAGUAACACGUGAGUAACCUGCCCUUGACUUUGGUAUAACUUCAGGAAACUGGGGCUAAUACCGGAUAGGAGCUCCUGCUGCUUGGUGGGGGUUGGAAAUUUUCGGCGGUUGGGGAUGGACUCGCGGCUUAUCAGCUUGUUGGUGGGGUAGUGGCUUACCAAGGCUUUGACGGGUAGCCGGCCUGAGAGGGUGACCGGCAACAUUGGGACUGAGAUACGGCCCAGACUCCUACGGGAGGCAGAAGGGGGGAAAAUGGAAAAAUGGGCGGAAGCCUGAUGCAGCAACGCCGGGUGCGGGAUGACGGCCUUGGGGUGGUAAACCGCUUUCGCCUGUGACGAAGCGUGAGUGACGGUAAUGGGUAAAGAAGCACCGGCUAACUACGUG